UCCCUGGUUGUCCAGUGGUUAAGACACAGAGCUUUUACUACUGGGGCCCAGGUUCAAUCCCUGGUCAGGGAA